GCUUCCUUGGCUCAGUUGGUAGAGCGACGCAUACGUAAUGCGUAGGUCGCCGGUUCAAGUCCGGCAGGGAGCU
rnacentral:tRNA from 1 species